AUAAGAUACUACAGAAAGGUCUCAGAAGGACAGUGAGGAGUUCUAGAAGACUGAUCAUCUACCUCCUUCAAAUUCCAGCGAGUUUUCCAGCAACAUAUCAGUGAUGGAACACCACCUGCUUGUACUACUGCUUUUCACAGGUGAGGAUUCCUACGAGCUGCACUCGGUGGAUGUGGAGCUGGAGGCCGUGGAGAAGCAGAUCCGCGACCUACAGGUGAAGCAGGCGACGCGGUGAUCAUCGGAGACUCCAUCAUCCAGCACGUCUGUGCUACCGCGGCUAAAGGUAAGGUGCGCACUCGUUGUUUUCCUGGUGCUCGUGUUCUUGAUGUCGCUGCACAGGUACCCGCGAUCCUCACCAAGAACAUCGGAGUUAUGGUCCUCCAUGCUGGCGUGCACGACAUCAGGCUGAGGCAGACGGAGAUCCUGAAGAAGGACUUCAGGAACCUGGUGGAGAAGGUUCGCACCACAUCGCCCCCGACGAGGAUUAUUGUGUCAGGACCACUUCCCACAUUCCAGCGAGGAAUCGAAAGGUUCAAUAGGCUAUUUGCAUUUAAUGAAUGGUUACAGUCUUGGUGUCAAGAACAGAAAAUACCAUUUGUUGAUAAUUGGAAUGUUUUCUGGGAGCACCCUAGGCUCUACCAUUAUGAUGGCCUGCACUCAAGCAGAGCUGGAGCAGCAGUCCUCUCAGACAACAUCUCCAGGACACUGCGCACCAUCUGACUGGUAAGUCAUUCCUCAGAUUACAUCUAUAAUAGCUACUGUUCAACUCACCAGACUAAUACAAGUUCACACAUAGCUCGUCCUAUAGAAACUGUGUCUGUUCCCCGAUUAGUGAGAUUAAAGGAUAAAUUUGUUAAUAACUCUCGAAAUAAUCUUAUCACAAUUAAACCUGAAAAAGGCCAAAUAGGUAAAGAAAAACAAUUUCUUAAGUUUGGACUUCUCAACAUUAGAUCCCUUGCACCGAAAGUACUUUUUAUUAAUGAAAUGAUCUCAGAUUAUAGUUUCGACACACUCUGUCUUACUGAAACCUGGCUUAGACCAAAUGAAUACAUUGGCCUAAAUGAGUCUACUCCGUCAGGAUAUUCAUAUAAGCAUGAGCCCCGUCAGACAGGUCGUGGUGGUGGUGUUGCAACCAUCUAUAAAAAUUCUCUUACUGUUACUCAGAAAACAGGAUCCAGGUUUAACUCAUUUGAAGUGCUUGUCCUUAAUGUUGCACUCUCAGACAUGCAUAAAAAAUCCCUACUCUAUCUUGCUCUGGCCACCGUGUACAGACCCCCCGGGGCCCUACGGUGAUUUUCUUAAUGAGUUUUCACAUUUACUCUCAGAUCUUUUGAUCAGUUUUGACAAAGUGUUAAUUGUAGGAGACUUUAACAUUCAUGUAGACGAUGCUAAUGAUGCAUUAGGACUCGCAUUUAUAGAUUUACUAAAUUCCUUUGGGGUUAAGCAAAACAUUAAUUGAACAACUCAUCGUUUUAAUCAAACCCUAGACUUAGUUAUUAUUUACUUAGUUAUUACUUAGCUAUUUUCACCAGCACACUAGACACUGUUGCCCCCAUCCGACUAAAAAAGGUCAGAGACACCUGCACCAGGGUAUAAUAGUCAUACUCACGCCCUCAAGAGAGCAAUCUGUAACCUCGAGCGAAAGGGGAAAAAAUCCAAAUUAGAAGUUUUUAGAAUUGCGUAUAAAGACAGUCUGUCCAACUAUAGACAGGCUCUAAAAGCUGCUAGGGCUGAGCAUCUGAGCAAACUGAUAGAAAUAAACCAGAACAAUCCCAGAUUCUAAUUUAGUACAGUGGCUAAACUAACAAAACAUCAGAUUUCUGGAGAAAGUAUUUCAGCACAGUUUAGUAGUGAGGACUUUAUGAAUUUCUUCACUAAAAAAAUUGAUAGUAUCAGGAACAAAAUAUUGGAUGUUCAACCUCUGAUGGCAUCCAGUGAUCCAGACCAGCCUAUAGCUCCACACUUAAAGCUACAAUGCUUUACCAGCAUAGGGCAGGAAGAGCUAGUUUUCACCAACUAACUUAUCGCCACGGCUAAAUCAACAACAUGUUUGCUAGAUCCAAUUCCAACUAGAUUGCUGAAAGAAGUGAUACAUGCAGCUGGAGAGCCUCUUCUCAAUAUUAUUAACUCCUCAUUAUCUAGGUCAUGUCCUAAAAUCUCUUAAGUUAGCAGUUAUUAAGCCUCUUCUUAAGAAACCAAAACUAGACCCUGAUGAAAUAUCAAAUUACAGACCGAUUUCAAACCUUCCAUUUAUAUCAAAAAUAUUAGAAAAGGUGGUGUCAGCCCAAUUAUGCUCCUUCCUACAGGAAAACACCCUUGAAGAAUUUCAGUCGGGUUUUAGGCCCCAUCAUAGCACAGAAACUGCACUAGUUAAAAUCACAAAUGACUUGCUUUUAGCUUUGGACAAAGGCUGCAUCUCGAUUUUAGUCCUGCUUGAUCUUAGUGCUGCAUUCGACACUAUAGAUCAUAACAUUCUGUCGGAGAAACAUAACAUACCCAGCUUUGAAUUAUAUACCUAGCUUUAAAAGUAGCUUAAGAAAUAAUGUACUCAAUGCUCUAAGCUCUGACUUAGCAAUAUUCUGCCUAAAAGUAGUGUGUAUCUAUCAAGAAUUAUUUAGCCAUUGAUUAAGUAGUUGGCUUUGUUUAAUACAAGUCUAUAAUAAUCAGGUAUAACCUUUAUGACAAUCAUAGUCUUUAUAAUAAUCAUGCAGAAUUAUUAAUAGUAGCAUGCUAGCGUAAUAACCACACUGAGACUGGAAAUAGAAAAGAGAAGUUUAUUGGAACAUUAGGAGUUACAGCUCAGUCAGCCAGCCUAUCCAGUGGGAUCAGUGGGACCGGAGAGUUGUAGAAGACGGGAUCUCAGGUUCCUGAGGAGAAGUUGGAGAGUAAUCAGUGGGAGAAACUGGAGGUGAAUAGACAGGAGAAGAUUGGGGAAUAUCGUGAAUACUGUAAGGCAAAGGCGCAAAUCCAGGAGAACGUUGGGGAAUGUCAGGGGAACUAGGAGGUGAAGAAGAGUCAGAGGAAGAAUCAUCAGAGGAGAUCUCAACAGGGACAUCCUCAGUCUGGACGCCUUGAGAGGUGGUGCAUGUCCAAUACCAGUAGAAGGUCUGAGUAGACUGAUCACAGGUUGUGGGGUGAAAUUGGGUGCUCUGAUCAAGACAGAUGGUAUCUCUCAAGAUGUGGUGAGCGAGGUGAGGAGACUCAGGAAUAGAGGAUUCAGAUAGGUGUUCCAGGAAACCAGUAAGUUCAAUGGCCAGGCAGGACAGCUGAUACUGGCGAUAGCGUCGCAGAGCACUCCGGGGACCUCUCCGGAAGAUAGCGCGACGGGCUGACUGAGCUAGAAGGAAGAAUGGGAAAUGGGAAGAGAUGAGUGAAGUGCAUAUUGCGUGACUAUGUAAUCAACAAGAGAGAACAUGCACUAAGGCAAGAGGAAAACAGUGUGGGGAGUAGGCCAGGUUACUGUGACAUGACAGUGGUACGCGGCUAGGGGAGACAAUAGCAUUGGAAUACCAGUAACCAACAGCGAUGAAAAGAGGGAAGGAUAUGAGGCAGCAAAAUGGCAAGGCUUAUUUUAAAAUUAAAAAAUAAAACUUAGAUCAAGCAGGUAGAGAAAAGUCAGAAUGACAUAGAGGAAGAGAUCAGGAUACUUACACAUUGUUGUGGAGGGCGACAUGCGAGGUCAGGAUGAUCUGAGGAAGCAACUUGGGAGGUGGCGGUCAAAUGAAGUCGAUGAGGAAGUGGCGCUUAUAAGUAAGCGCUAUUUUUUUCUAAAAAUUGUUGACUUAGCCUAAAAAUAAGGGAAACUGGAGAGGAGGAAAAUUGACGUCAUCGAGGGGAGGAUGGUAUUAAUUUAGGGGCGGUAUCGGGACAAAUACAAAAAUAAUGUGAAAUGGUAAAAUGUAUGUAAAUUAAGGAAGGAGGGAUUAAAGUAGCCAUACACUGAAUAUAAUGGGAAAUUGCUGGAAAUAUUUAAAUUAGAGAAAAGGAGGCACCAUGGGGCACCUGGGGUAUAAGUAGAGGGGAACUUUUUGGGGUUUUCAGACCAGCUGCUCUCUUCAGAAAUGCAUGUUGUUGACUGCAUGGCUGAAUAACCUGCUUCUUCUCAUCUGCUGACUGAGAUCUCCUUUAUUUUGGCUAAGUUUUAUAGUUUGUUGAGUUCAUUGGGUAAGAUUAUGGAAAGCUAAGAGAAAUAGACAAUCUAAAAUUCCACCCUGUGAUAUGUCCACUCGGAGGGGGCUCUGAAUUCCAACAAUUCUCAUAGAUCGCUUACAAAAUCAGGGACAGGCAUUAAAAUGGUUUAGAUCCUACCUGUCUGAUCGAUACCACUUUGUAGACUUAAAUGGAGCACUGUCCAGUAUAGUGCCAGUGAAAUACGGGGUCCCACAAGGGAUGAAAUAUCUAAUUUGUCUAGACUAACUGAGUGUGUUAAAGAUAUUAGAGAUUGGGUGACCGAUAAUUUUUUAUUACUAAAUUCUGAUAAGACAGAGAUAUUACUUAUUGGCCCCAAAACCAGUACACAGAAGCUCUCGCAAUUCAGCUUACAUCUAGAAGGAUGCACUGUUGCUACUAGCUCAACAGUGAAAGACCUGGGCGUAAUAUUAGACAGCAACUUAUCCUUUGAAAAUCAUAUAUCCAACAUCACAAAAAUAGCCUUCUUCCAUCUUAGAACUAUUGCCAAGCUUAGGAACAUUUUAUCUGUAUCUGAUGCAGAAAAACUAGUUCAUGCAUUCAUGACCUCCAGACUGGACUACUGUAAUGCAUUACUAGGUGUUUGUCCUGCAUCUUCAAUAAACAAGCUACAGUUAGUCCAGAAUGCAGCCGCCAGAGUUCUUACCAGAUCAAGAAAAUUUGAACAUAUAACCCCAAUAUUAUCAUCCCUGCACUGGCUACCUGUGAAGUUUAGAAUUGACUAUAAAUUAGCUCUACUUAUGUACAAGGCUCUAAUCAGUUUAGCUCCCACCUAUCUCUCCAGUCUUCUAACACAUUACAAUCCAUCACGUUCUUUAAGAUUGCAAAAUUCUGGACUUCUAGUAGUUCCCAGAAUAUCAAAGUCCACAAAAGGGGGUAGAGUGUUUUUGUAUUUAGCUCCAAAACUUUGGAAUAGUCUUCCUGACAGUGUUCUGGGCUCAGACACAGUUUCCCAGUUUAAAUGUAGACCAAAGACUUAUCUCUUUAGCUUGGCAUACAUCUAACACAUCCCAUAACCUUGUGCUCCAGUACAUCUGAUUAAAUGUACAUUAUCAUCUAGUGCUGCUAAUAUUAUGAACAGCAGCUACGCUAAUGCUGUUCCAUUGUUUCCUUUCUUCUACCCAUCCCGAGGCAUACAGAGACUGUGCUCCAGUGGCAUCCGGAGAUGGACCAGCUCCAGCCGGGUUCUGCUUGUGAGGAUUGGGAUAUUCAAGCAGCGCUGUGGACAACAACCUCCUUAUUGAUUUACAUAACACUAUACACAUGCUGUAUCUGCAUCACACAAUUGUCACCCAAAUGAGGAUGGGUUCCCUUUUGAGUUUGGAUCCUCUCAAGGUUUCUUCCUCUUACCAUCUAAGGGAGUUUUUCCUUGCCACAGUCGUCUCAGUCACCUCAGGCUUGCUCACUUGGGAUAACAUCUAGGACUGUCUGUCUGUUUAUAUGUUUGUUGUUUUCUUAUGUC